rnacentral:rRNA from 1 species
UACGUAGGGUGCGAGCGUUGUCCGGAAUUACUGGGCGUAAAGAGCUCGUAGGUGGUUUGUCGCGUUGUUCGUGAAAACUCACAGCUCAACUGUGGGCGUGCGGGCGAUACGGGCAGACUGGAGUACUGCAGGGGAGACUGGAAUUCCUGGUGUAGCGGUGGAAUGCGCAGAUAUCAGGAGGAACACCGGAUGGCGAAGGCAGGUCUCUGGGCCGAUACUGACGCUGAGGAGCGAAAGCGUGGGGAGCGAACAGG